UACGGGGGGGGCAAGCGUUGUUCGGAAUUACUGGGCGUAAAGGGCUCGUAGGUGGCCAACUAAGUCAGACGUGAAAUCCCUCGGCUUAACCGGGGAACUGCGUCUGAUACUGGAUGGCUUGAGUUCGGGAGAGGGAUGCGGAAUUCCAGGUGUAGCGGUGAAAUGCGUAGGUAUCUGGAGGAACACCGGUGGCGAAGGCGGCAUCCUGGACCGACACUGACGCUGAGGAGCGAAAGCCAGGGGAGCAAACGGG
rnacentral:rRNA from 1 species